rnacentral:rRNA from 1 species
CUACGGGAUGCAGCAGUGGGGAAUAUUGCACAAUGGAGGAAACUCUGAUGCAGCAACGCCGCGUGGAGGAUGACACUUUUCGGAGCGUAAACUCCUUUUAUAUAGGAAGAUAAUGACGGUACUAUAUGAAUAAGCACCGGCUAACUCCGUGCCAGCAGCCGCGGUAAUACGGAGGGUGCAAGCGUUACUCGGAAUCACUGGGCGUAAAGAGCGUGUAGGCGGGUUAAUAAGUCAGAAGUGAAAUCCUAUGGCUCAACCAUAGAACUGCUUUUGAAACUGUUAACCUAGAGUGUGGGAGAGGUAGAUGGAAUUUCUGGUGUAGGGGUAAAAUCCGUAGAGAUCAGAAGGAAUACCGAUUGCGAAGGCGAUCUACUGGAACAUAACUGACGCUGAGACGCGAAAGCGUGGGGAGCAAACAGGAUUAGAUACCCUAGUAGUC